AUUUUAUUAAAAAAUUAAUAAACUAAUUAGAUAUAUUUUAUUUUAAAAAAUUUAUUUUAAAAUAUCAAUUAUUAUAAUAAGAAAAAUUAAUAAAAUUAAUAGUUUAAAAGUACAGUAAUGGAAAUAAUAAGUAAUAUAAUAAUAGUAAAAAUUAAUUUUUGUACCUUUUGUAUCAGGGUUAAAUAAAUAAAAAAUAUUAUUACUUUUUUCUCGAAAUUAUUUUGAGCUAAGUAUAAAUAUUAAAUAAUUUUGUGACAAAAAAAUUAUUUAUUUAUAUUUAGAUAUGAUAUGUUAUCCGUAAUUAAUGUUAUCUAGUUUUUAAUUAAGUAUUAUUAUUAAGUUAUAAAUUAAAAUUUUAUGUUUAAUAAAUAGUAAAUAUUGUAGGGAUAAGCUUAUGAUAUAAUUUAAAAGCUUAUUAAAUAUUUGUUACAAAUUUGGAUUUGAAAGUAAUUUUAAUUUUAAUAGUUUAUAAACUUUUAAUUAAUAUAAUACGCUUUAUAUUUUUUAAAAUAAAUGAAUUAAUUUUUCUUUUUGAAAUAAUGUUUAAAUUAGUAUAAAUUUUUUUAAUUAAUUAAUUUAUGUUUUAUAAUAUUUAUUUAUGAAUUCGGCAACUAAAUUUUUCGCCUGUUUAUCAAAAACAUGGCUUAAUGUAAUUAAAUAUUAAGUUGUACCUGCCCAAUGAUUUUAUAAAUUUAAUGGCCGCAGUAAUUUGACUGUGCAAAGGUAGCAUAAUCAUUUGUUUUUUAAUUGAAGACUGGAAUGAAUGGUUUGACGUAAAAAUAGCUUUAUUAAUAAUUUUAUUAAAAAUUAAUUUUUAUGUUAAAAAGCAUAAAUAGUAUUAAGGGACGAAAAGACCCCAUCAAGUUUAAUAUACUAUUUCAAAAUAUGAUUUAAUUCUUAAUUUAUUUGAAUUAUAUAUUUUGCUGGGGCGGUAGAAAUAGAUUAUCUUUUUUUAAUAAAAAUGAAUUAUAUUUUAUUAAUUAUCCUAUUUUAUAGAAUUAUAAUAAAUUACUGUGGGGGUAACAGCGUUAUUUUUUUGUAGAGUUCUUAUUAAUAAAAAAGAUUGCGACCUCGAUGUUGGAUUAAAUUUUUCUAUUAGGUGAAGAUGCUUAAUGGGAUAGUCUGUUCGACUAUUAAAUAUUUACAUGAUCUGAGUUCAGACCGGCGUAAGCCAGGUCAGUUUUUAUCUUUAAUUUUGUAACAAAUUAAUUAUAGUACGAAAGGACUUAAUUAAUAAAAAUCUUUUAUUUAUUAUUUUUAUUAUAUAAUAAUAAUU
rnacentral:rRNA from 1 species